UCCAUUAUCAAGAACGAAAGUUAGAGGUUCGAAGGCGAUCAGAUACCGCCCUAGUUCUAACCAUAAACGAUGCCAGCCAGCGAUCCGGCUGUGUUCCUCAAAUGACACGCCGGGCAGCUUCCGGGAAACCAAAGCUUUUGGGUUCCGGGGGAAGUAUGGUUGCAAAGCUGAAACUUAAAGGAAUUGACGGAAGGGCACCACCAGGAAUGGAGCCUGCGGCUUAAUUUGACUCAACACGGGAAAACUUACCCGGCCCGGACACAGGAAGGAUUGACAGAUUAAGAGCUCUUUCUUGAUUCUGUGGGUGGUGGUGCAUGGCCGUUCUUAGUUGGUGGAGCGAUUUGUCUGGUUAAUUCCGAUAACGAACGAGACUCUAGCCUACUAAAUAGACGUUCCGAUCAUCUCCGUCGGACGUUCUUCUUAGAGGGACAAGCGGCGUUUAGCCGCACGAGACAGAGCAAUAACAGGUCUGUGAUGCCCUUAGAUGUCCGGGGCCGCACGCGCGCUACAUUGAAGGAAUCAGCGUGUGCUUUCCCUGUCCGACAGGACUGGGUAACCCGUUGAACCUCCUUCGUGCUGGGGAUAGGGGCUUGUAAUUGUUCCCCUUGAACGAGGAAUUCCCAGUAAGCACGAGUCAUAAGCUCGUGUUGAUUACGUCCCUGCCCUUUGUACACACCGCCCGUCGCUACUACCGAYUGAAUGAUUUAGUGAGGUCUUCGGACUGGCGCUCGGAGCGGCCCUCGGGUCGCGCCGGCGUGCCGGAAAGAUGACCAAACUUGAUCAUUUAGAGGAAGUAAAAGUCGYAACAAGGWUUCC
rnacentral:rRNA from 1 species